UAUUAUGGUUUGAAAAAGGUUGUGGU
rnacentral:piRNA from 1 species